GAGGCUGAGAAAGACCAGCGGAGAGACACGCUCUGUGCAGCUCCAAGAAAUCGGGCUGGAGAGUUUUCCGAGCGCAAGGGCAGCGGUCCCAGCACCUCUCCACAGUUCUUAGAGACCUGCUGGUGCAAAACAGUGCUGGAGAGUCAUGUGCUAUUCCCAAACACUGCCUGCGACACAGACCGGAGCAAAGGAGGAAUGAACCAGAAACAGGAACAGCUCCGCCUGAUCAAGUGACGGGCACAAGAACAAGUGAAACCAAAGAUAUGAGAUCCAUAUCCUCCCACUACACCCGUAGAACUGGGCUUUUCCUAAGGAGUGGUGAUUUUGACCUUAUAUGAAAUGGGAAGAAUCACAUCAGGGAUGUCCAGGUAUUAAAACAAACUGGUAAGAUUUUUCAUGCCCUUGUUU